rnacentral:rRNA from 1 species
GACGAACGCUGGCGGCGUGCUUAACACAUGCAAGUCGAGCGGUAAGGCCCUUCGGGGUACACGAGCGGCGAACGGGUGAGUAACACGUGGGUGACCUGCCUCUAGCUCUGGGAUAAGCCUGGGAAACUGGGUCUAAUACCGGAUAUGACUCCACGGCGCAUGUUGUGGGGUGGAAAGCCUUGUGUGGCUAGAGAUGGGCCCGCGGCCUAUCAGCUUGUUGGUGGGGUGAGGCCUACCAAGGCGACGACGGGUAGCCGGCCUGAGAGGGCGACCGGCCACACUGGGACUGAGACACGGCCCAGACUCCUACGGGAGGCAGCAGGUGGGGAAUCUUGCGCAAUGGGCGAAAGCCUGACGCAGCGACGCCGCGUGAGGGAUGACGGCCUU